UAGAAUGUGCCGGAGUCAAGCUGGAGACGGUCGUGAAACUCGAAUCAACGGAGAUAUGAGCGAAGGACUUCAAGAUCAAACCUUGAAUUUUCAUGUAACAGGGGUAUAAUAUCAUAUGGAGGUGAGUACUAGCCACCCAGGGCUUGGAACGCCAUUCAUUCCAGUGAAACAACGUGGAAACCGGCGGGAUAAGGCUGGUGAUUCGGAGAGGGUUAGAGAGAGUUUGAGGGACAAAGG
rnacentral:lncRNA from 1 species